AGAGUUAAAUAGUACGUGAAAUUGUUGAAAGGGAAACGAUUGAAGUCAGUCAUGCCGGCAGGAAUCAAUUUUAAGGAAGGGGGAUUUUUUUGAACCUAACUUUGAAAUGCACUUCCUUGCUUGGCAGGUUAGCGUCGAUUUUGAACGUCAUAAAAUGAUUGGGGAAGGUAACUCCGUAGGGAGUGUUAUAGCCCUUAAUUAAUGUGAUGUUUGGGAUCGAGGAUUGCAACGGAUACCUUUUAGGCUAACCGCCUGGCCUCUGAUUCGAUGUUGGGUUAUAGACAGCAUGCUGACUAUGAUCUGAUUAUUGGUCAAAAGGUUAGAGCGAGUAUAAAUUCGUUAAGGACGCUGACGUAAUGGCUUUAAACGA
rnacentral:misc_RNA from 1 species